ensembl:lncRNA
UGUAUUUCCCUUAAGAAAACAAAAUCUUUUGUGACUGCAGUCCAACUAAAAUAGUGUAGUGGUGCUUAUUUCCAGGGUAAAUCCUUCACAAAUGAACAGUGAAAUUGAAAUGCUGGAAAGAUGAGUCUAUCUUCUUGGUAAAUCUUUUGUACAUGACUGCUUAGAAGUAGGAAGUAAGAGCAAUCACUUUCAGGGAUGUUGUGAUAAAGAACAAAAUGUAGUAUUUGAGCCUGAAAUGUGAUUUUCAGUGGUGAUGCAGAAUAAAUUCAGUGUGAACUGAAAAAUUUAUUUUAAAGACUACUUUUAGGAUAGCUAGGACCAGUUCAGCAAGGAAAAGUAAGAAAUUAUUACUCACUUGUAACCAUAUGCAGUGAGAACAUGUGCUCAUUUUGGGUUAACUGUGCACACUUUAAAGUAAAUGUGACCCUUUUUCCACAUACAGAUUUUACAUGUAAAACUUUAUUGUUUAUCCAGGAACCAGAAAAUGAUAAAUUUUAUUUUAUGCCCACCAAAUGGCAAUGUUCUUUUAAAGCAGAAUUUUAAUAUAUAUAUUCUGGAAAAUCUUCAGGAGUUUUAUGGAGGUUGUUAACUAAGUCAGUCUUCUGCUCAGUGCUCCAGAAUUUGUCUGUCAGAACCAUAUUUGCUUUGUGUGUGUUAAAUUGCUUACAUAGAUUAAUAUUUGAUUGAUAUAUUUGUUCUUCAUUAUGCUAACAGAGUAAUAUGUGUAAGCAUGCUGAAAAUUGUGGAUUGGUGAGGGCAAAAACUGCUACAUCCAGAAAAGGAAGCAAAGGCAAAAAUAAAAUGCAUGAGCACCCGAAGCGUGCUAACCCAGAAGUUGCCCUGAAAUCAUUCCAGGAUGACUCUACUGUGGAAAAUGAACAUUGUGCUGGUGAGAUUGUUCCUGUUUUAGAUGGGGCAGAAGCAGCAGCUCCUGGGGAGCACAGAGCAGAAGCAACUUAUUAAAUGGAUCCUCAACGUGAUGAACAAUUACUGCAUAAAGAGACUGCUCUUCCUUGUUCUCAGUAGCUGUAACUGAGCAGUUUAAAGUGUGGAACUACCUCCAGCUGGAAAGGUAGAAAAGAUGAAGUUGGAAGCUGUUGAAUCCCUUCUGUGCUCAUGUUUCUUCUUGCUGCAGUUUCUUUUGUGUGGCCUAAAUACCAUUGCAAAGUGUGGAAGUUAGAGGCAACUUUCACCUGGUUUAUUACAUACCUGUAAUAACAGAAUGGGAAAAAACAGCUGAUUCCAAAAUCAUUUAUUGAAGAAUGGAUGCGUUGUUUCACCUUUUUGCUUUUUUCCAGGUUUAUUCACAGAAUUACAGUCUGAUCUGAGGCAAAUUUCUCUCUCAGUAUCACUGAGAGCUGCCUGAAUUUCAGUGUUUAUACUUUGCUGAGGUGAGCACAUGAAAGGCAAUGACUUUUUUGGUACAUGUACUAAAUCUCCUUUCUGCAAACACUUUAGUUUCUAGUGGAAUUCAUGAUGCAAUAGAAUGCAUGAUGCAAUUUUGUUGAAAAGCACCGUUUUUUAUGUCUCGUACUGCUGAUAAUUAGAAACUCAUCUUUUGUCUGAGUUUUUCUCAGCUCAUUUAGCUGGGCAGACAGAACUGCAUGGCAAAAAUGAAGCAGGAACAAAAUGAAGCACACAAAAAUGUGGCAGAGAAGUGUGGAGGACCCCCACAUUCUGGGAAUGUGAAACCUUCUGUGUCCUUAAGCUGACGCUGGGAUCUGUUUUCUUUGUCCCUCUAACACUUGCAAGUGUUCCCAUGUAAGUUUGUGAUCCUCCAUUUAGCACCAGAUCCAAGCCACACUAAUGAUUCUGAUUCUAAUUAGCUCUUCAAUGAAGCACAAUUGUGUUAUUUACAUGUUUAUAGUAUACUUAAAAAUCAGAAAAAAAUUUAACUGUCAAAUACAAUUCUCUAACUUUCCUUAGGUUAUAAGACCUACUGGGUUUAACUCUUAAUAAUUACUAGAGUCAUUACAGUAAGUACUAUUAAUUUUCAUGAUUCAUUACAAUGAUCACAAUUGCCAUUUAUGCACUGUUCACACUUUUUUUUGUCAUUUAUAAUUAAUCCUUGGAAGCCUUCUCAUAAAAUCUUAAAUACUUUUUAAAUAUUCAUCUUUAAUGCUGUUAUUCUUAUGUUACAUUCCAUUAUAAAUAAGCACCAGCAUAACUAAAUAUUAUUAGGUCAUGCAACAACUAAAUUGAAUUGAAAUGCCAAACCCUCAUCCCAAUUUCAAGAUUAACAUCUAUGUUUAACUUCAUUAUGGUGUGGAAUUUGACCAGUAUUAAAUGGUUUGGGUUUGCACGUUGGGCAGGCUGUGGUUGCUGGUUCUGCUGCUGUGGUCAGGGACAGAGAAUUCCUGUGCUGUGCUGAGCUGCAGGCUCACAGCAACUGCAACUUCUAACUUUUUUUUACUUUGAACGGCCUGUUAAAAAUUAAACUUUAAGUUUUUGCCAGUUAGUUUCUGAACGUCUUUAUCCUGUACAUGGUAAAGUGUCUAAAUGCCUGUUCUAGGAUAACUUCUUUAAUUCAGCAGCUGUUCUGUGACCCAAAGCAGUGCCAGGAGCUUUAAGAGCCACAGUGCCCCCAGGAUCUCUGUGCUCGGGGUGAGCAGAUAAGGGAGGAUGUUGGCAUUAGCAGGAGAUAAUUGCAGUUUUACAGUAAAUAAUCCCAUUUAGAGAGACCUCACCAAAAGCCUCACCUAGACCUUCCUCAAUCAUCUCUGUCAAACACGGGAAUUACCACUUUGGUAACAAAAACCUCCUUCAGUUUUGUAGCAAACCCUGAGGAAUCAGAGGGCUUGGAUUCAUUGAAAUUCUUCAUUGGUUUUGUCCCUCCAUUACAGAGCUGUUACUUCACUGUUUACACAGUUUCAUAUUGAUUGCUCUGUGCCUUUUUUCAUGCUGCUGAAAUUUCAGUAACUUCAUUUGUUCUUACCAGUGACAGGACUUAAGAAUACUUUUUGUUCAUGAUAAUUUCUUAAAUAGUAUUGUUAACUUUAUUCUUGUUGUGCUGUUUCCAUUUGUGUUAUAAACUCUAAGCAGCAGAUUGCUUUGUAAAAAUUAAUUUUAGAAGUUGUUUAAAUUCUUUGAUCAAUUUGCUGAAUAUAUAUUGUUCAUUUGAAUUGUUAAUAGCAAAGCUGAUUCAUUCUGUGCUGACAUCUAAAAAUCAGACUACAGAGAGUGGAAUGUGAAUGUAGUAAUAAAAGAUAUUUUUAUCUCUGAACUUUCA